GCCUCUGUAGCUCAGUUGGUUAGAGCGCUGCACCGGAAUCACAGGGCCAUAUAUAGGUUCAAUUCCUACCAGAGGAC
rnacentral:tRNA from 1 species